AGUGCCUGCGCUUCUUCCAGCAGCGCAAGAGCCUGCUGCUGCACCAGCGCCUGCACACCGGCAAUGGCCAGGGCUGGCCCGCCUGCCCCUACUGCGGCAAGGCCUUCCGCCGGCCCUCGGACCUCUUCCGGCACCAGCGCAUCCACACCGGUGAGCGGCCCUACCAGUGCCCCCAGUGUGGCCGGACCUUCAACCGCAACCACCACCUGGCCGUGCACAUGCAGACCCACGCCCGAGGCCAGGUGGGCCCACACUUCCCUGCCGCCCCCGCCCGCCACGGGAGCCUGCCCCUGCCCUGGCCCAGCCGGAAGGAGGAGGGCUGACCUGGCAGGAGCCCACAGAGGACCCCUGGCGGGGUCUCUCCCCUGUGCCUGACGCAGGUUCUUCCUUUUCCUGGGAUGGAGAGAGGUUUGUUGUUUUUACCCAUUCAAAUGGGAAGCUAGCUGCCCUUCUGGUGACAUUGUGUGUGACCGGGUGCUUUCUGUUUCCUGUUUGCACUCUUCGCUGCCUUUUCUGCAUUCCUGACUUCUAAAAGAUGCCUUAAGGCUUAAGGGAUGCCAUAUUUUUGAUAAGGCCUCUGGUAGGUACCACAGCCAAGAGGACCAGAGAUCAUGGCCCUUCCAGUAUGGGGGCGAUAGAGACAUCGGGGACCUGGGAUUUUUGUUUUGUGCAGAGAUCUCCUGCCUGCUGUCACCAUGAGAAACAGUGGAGUGGAGUGGAUGGAUGGCCUGACUUGAAGAAAGGGCCCUGGAAAGUUUUCUACUUUGCUAUUUUGAAAUUUUUUUCCCUUCUUAUAGAGACUUUGAAAUACUUUUGUAAAUGUGUGUAGUUGUUAAUGGAACUUUGCCUUUUGCAAAGUCGGAAAGAGUCGGCUUUUCCAUGUGAGGCUCGCAGAGCUGAAAGGGGAGCUACGUCCACCAGCCUGUGGGUCUUUUGGUUUUUUUUUUGUUGUUGUUGUUUUAAGAUGGAGUUUCACUCUUGUUGCCCAGGCUGGAGUGCAAUGGUACAAUCUCCGCUCACUGCAACCUCCGCCUCUCGGGUUCAGGUGAUUCUCCUGCCUCAGCCUCCUGAGUAGCUGGGAUUACAGGCGCCCACCACCACUCCCGGCUAAUUUUUGUAUUUUUAGUAGAGACAGGGUUUCAUCAUGUUGUCCAGACUGGUCUCGAACUCCUGAUGUUAGGUGACCCGCACACCUCGGCCUCCUGAAGUGCUGGGAUUACAGGCGUGAGCCACCACUCUUGGCCCAGCCUGUGGGUUUUGAUGGGGAUGUCUUGGCUGCUGUCUUGGAGGCACAGUGUCUCCCCAUGUGUGUGUUUCUUGGCCCAGAGUGACUCCCAGUAUUCCUAGUCCUUCCCCACAGGAUAGUCACAUCCAUUAUUUACUUUUGUUGUCAGCUGGGAGGGGAAACUGAAGCCUGGACACGUCUCCCCAAGGGCUCAGUGUUCAUGGGUGUGUAAGAUCCAUUGACUGGACCCCAGAAAGCACCCUGAGGGGCAGUGCAGAGAGAGCCCAGGAAGCCCCUCCACUAGAGGAGGCCCUUGGUCUGGCUGAGGACCACGUCCACCCUGGGCCUCCAGGCCUGCUUUUCACAUUAAAGGCGGGGCAGUCUCCUCUCAAAGGAGUUCUCCCUUGAGCACUUUGGGCUCUGGGGCAGAGUUGGGCUAGGAGAUCUGGGUGAAUCCUUUAGUCACAGCUAGUCUCAUGUUCCUCUUCUGUCAAAGGGGUCAUGGCCCCAGUGUGUCCUACCUCAGAGUUGUCAGGGUCAAAGUAACAGGCACUGGGACAAAUAUGAAGCCUAGCUUUGUGCUUCCUUUCAAAUUCAGGGCCUCCUUUCUACUCCAUUCCAGCCUUUUUUUCCUGUCAGAAUCCCUCAGGAAGGACCUUUAUCUUCUGGAGUGAGUGGCAGUUCCACUGGGUUCAGUGAAAGAGUCGCCCAUGGGGCUCUGUUCCCCAGGAGUCCUUUGUAUUUUGGUGAACAAAUUCUUACCAAAGCAUGAGAUUCGGACUGUAGAAGUUCAGACUGCCUCAGUUCAGACUGCCUCAUGGGGCAGUCUGGAGGUCAGCUGGCUUCUGGUGUCUCUCAUCACACCACUGCGGACGCUGUCUGUAGAGCAGCCUUGGUGUGGGUGACUCUGAAGCUGGAGUGAUGGGACCCCAGCUAUCCUUGUUUUUUACCGCCUUGUCUGGCACUGUGACCACGCUUCAGGGCUGCUUCUGGGGGUCUUGGUCCCUGGAUGUGCCAUUUCCUUGCCCUUCUGACCCUCACACUUCUUCCAAAGUCUUGAGCAGAGUUGGGGGCCAAUGGUAGCAUUGCUGUCAUCUCUGGGAGGAGAGUGAGUAUACAAGUCAGUGACAGUUCAGCCAGGCUCCCUUGGGUUUGGGAAGAGGCACUGCCCUUCUGUGCUGUGGAUCCUGCUUGUCUGCUCUGGAGUCCCCCCACCCUUGCCAGGAGCUUCACAAACCAGAGACGGGCUGUCAGCAAGAGCUCAGACAGGAUGUGGUGCAAGUGCAGGUGCACGAGUUUAACCCUCAGCUGCAGGAGCUAGUCUCAGGUGUUCUGGGGAUGCCUCAGGCUAAGAAUUUUGCCGACUUUCUGGGCUUGGUUGGCUAAUGCCAAAUGCCCCUGCUUAAAUAUCACAAGGUGCUGAUUCUCCUUUUUUCUUUUUUUCAUACCAAUGUGCUCAAACUUUGAGCUAGGUCUUGUGAGUUUGCCUAGCACUCAGACCUGUUUAAGUAACGUUCUUUACAUUGAAACAAGUCAACCGAAGCUUUGUGGUGCAGGAGCUGAGGGUGCCCCAGACUCAGUGGGAGCCCUGGUUGGGCCCCAAACUCUCCCAGCAGGGUCCUCGGUUUCCUCAUUUGUGAAAUAAAUGAGUGGGCCACGACGUUAAUAAGCCCAAGAGAACUGUGAAGGUGGUAGUCCCUUGCCCUAAUUGGUGCUCAAUAAAGUUGUUGGCAUAAA
rnacentral:lncRNA from 1 species